rnacentral:rRNA from 1 species
UACAGAGGUCUCAAGCGUUGUUCGGAUUCAUUGGGCGUAAAGGGUGUGUAGGUGGCGCGCUAAGUCGGGUGUGAAAUUUCGGAGCUUAACUCCGAAACUGCAUUCGAUACUGCCGUGCUUGGGGACUGGAGAGGAGACUGAAAUUUACGGUGUAGCGGUGAAAUGCGUAGAUAUCGUAAGGAAGACCAGUGGCGAAGGCGGGUCUCUGGACAGUUCCUGACGCUGAGGCACGAAGGUCAGGGGAGCAAACGGG